rnacentral:rRNA from 1 species
UCUGCUCAAUGUUAUCAAAUAAAUAGCUGCAUUUUUGUACUAAGGUAGCAUAAUAAUUUGCCUUUUAAUUGAAGGAUAGUAUGAAUGAAAUAACAAAAAAUAUGCUGUCUUUAUAUUAAACCUAAAAAUUAAUCUAAAAGUGAAAAAGCCUUUAUUCAAUAAAUAGACAAGAAGACCCUGUUGAGCUUUCUCUAAAAAUUCAUAAUUAGAUUUUGUUGGGGCAACAUUUAUUUUCAUAACCAAUUUUUAUAUUUUUAGAACAAAUUCAUUUUAUUUAUCUUAUUUUAUAAAAAAUUAAUAAGUUACCACAGGGAUAACAGGCUAAUUUUUUUAAAGAGUUCAAAUUAACAAAAAAGUUUGGCACCUCGAUGUUGGCUUAAAGUUUCUUUUAAAUGCAGCAAUUUAAAUAGUUGGUUU